UCCUCUUUUACGCCUUUUUGGCAUAAAUGUCAAUCAUUUUUUCAAUCGUAAUCCCUCAAAAUUUCGUACCUGUAAACGUAUUUUUUUCACAACCUUUGCAAAUCUUUCCAAUGGUCAUAUAUUCGUUUUGGUAUGAUUUUUAGUGACGUCAUUUCCUUUAGUAUGACAAUUAGGUUUGCGUUCAUCCCGCAACUGUUUUCUAUUAACUGUUCAAGGUGCAGUUCAUCAUCCUCUACGAACCCAGUUUUUAGGGUUCAGUAAAUGGAAUAUUAAUAACUCAAAUCUCGUAUGCCGAAGUGCAAGCAGGAAACAAAAAUUGGGUUUGCUAUAACUGAUCAAGUCUAAUGGCACACCUCUAUCAGUAUCACCAAAACCAAUAUUCCAUUAAAGUUCAAUCUAAACCCUAUUAUAUCUAUUCAACUAAGUCUUCCAAGCCGUGUCAUAUUGUUUUUCAAGAGUGUCACACCAACGUGAUUUGCUUGGUUAUUGUCUCUCCUUGUCCAUGGUGUUUACUUCAAGUAGCUGUGAUGUUUCAUGUUUUUCUUUGGUAUCUAUACAAAUAAUAUCAUCAGUUCGGAGAUAUUUGAGAGAAAAUCAUUAUCUAGUGGCCCGAAGAAUGAAAAAAAAAAGUAGAAGUAUAUAUCGACUACACCAUAUCCUGGUUUUUGCAACGCCGGGAAAUUCUGUUUUGCAACAGAUAAAUUGUGAUGGAGCAACGAAAAUAUACGUUGCAAAUAAAAUAUCCGUUGCUUCAUUUAUAAAUUAACUUUUAGUAAUUUAGUAUAAUUUUUGCACCGUUGAUAGCUUGCAAUCCUGCGGUUAUGUUAUUUUCAAGGAUUUUAGGAUUAAUAUUGUUAUUUUUAUUAUUUAUCUCAAACUCGUUAAGAAAGAGAAAUGAAUAUCACCACGAACUCUUUUUGUGUUUGUUAUCUUCCUCCUAAACCCAAACUCUGAAAAUAUCACAGAUCUAACCUAAACGCUCACAAUCAAAGACUAAUUCCAACCUCAACCCAAAAUCAAAACCCAUGUAUCAGAUCUAAAGAAAACCCCUCUUUUGUAGCCCUAGAUUUAGAUUAUUUGUUCGUAAAACCAAAAGCAAAAUCUCAUCUAAUUUUAGUGUAUUUGUUCAUAUGCAAAAACCUCUCAUCAUGAAAUCAAGUCUGAUUUGAGAAACUAAUCCUAACCACAUCUUUGAAUCAAAAUCCAUCUCUGAAUCAGAACCAUAAUCCUUUAACAUCCCUUAAUUUCGUAAUCCUAGAUCUAAUUGAUUUUUCUCCUGAAAUCAAAGAAAACCCCAUCUCAUAUUCGACAGAGCUGAAAGUACAAGAAGAAGACGCCACCAGUGCUGAUGGUUAAAGUUGAUGGUGUGGGCUGUUUGUUUGAUGGUGUGGUUGGUUCUACAGAUUUGGGGCUUUAGUUGGUGGUGGUGCAUCAUUUGAUUCUGCAAAGAUUUUGCAUUUUGCAUUUUUUAUUUUUGUGUGAUGUAUUUGAUGGAAUCCUAAAGCAUGGGUUUUAUUUGAUUUCAGUUCUUUGGUGUUUUAUAUGUAGUACUGAUGGUUAAAGUUGAUGGUGUGGUUAGUUCUACAGAUUUGGGGGUUUAAUUGGUGGUGGUGCAUCAUUUGUUUGGUGUUUGUGAUAAAACCCUUGGAUCUGUUAUGAAAAUUCAUGCUAGUGGUGGUGAUGCAGAUAGAAAUUGGUGGAGAUUUGACUGAAAUUUGUGGUUUGAAAAGUGAUGAAUCUAUGAUGCACAUUUUGAUAACCUCCACGGGUGCGGUCACUCACUUUCCGAUGGUUUGUUGAGGGCUACUGAUGUUAUGAUUGCGCAGGACAUGAAAAUGAAGCUGAUACCAACAAAAACACCGAAAAUAGAGAGGCAUAUAGCUCAAGAAACAAAGGCUGAGAAGCAUAUUCGCUGGACUUCCUUAACCGAUGAUUUUUUUUCUUCUGCAAAUAGUGUGCUGCUCUCAAUGAUCUUGUUGUGCUCGACCUUGUCUCUACCAUCAGCUCUCUGCAACGACCACCAUGUUCAACUCCACCAACAUAACCAGUACCACUACCAAGUCAAUGAAGGGUACCCCGUACUGGAUGGAUCCAAAAGACAUUCUCCAAACUAGGCAUAGCUUUUCUUCCGAUAUUUGGAGUUUUGGAUGUACUAUGAUUGAGAUGGGUACUGGAACCUUGGAGUCAACAGUUCUAAGAGCACAUGCUUAAGAUGGAGCAGGAAGAGUACAGCUAGGAAAAAAUUAACUGGAGCAUUGAGUUCAUUGACAAAUUGGUUUAGUACAUCCUUCCUGUCCAUUGUGCCAAGUGCAGAAAAAGAAUGAGGUUUGCUAUUCAUGAAUCCAUGAUGUAAUACCUUGUUCAGAAUGGAAUUUCCUUGUGUAAAUUCAAACUAAGUUCAUAAUUUUGUAAAAUGUUGCAAGGAUGAAUGAUGUUGUAAGGAUGAGUGAUUUUCUUAUCAGGUCAGGGUUUCAGAUUAUUUGUAAUACUGGAAUUUCGUAAUAUGUAAUUUUUUUUAA